rnacentral:rRNA from 1 species
CCUACGGGAGGCUGCAGUGGGGAAUAUUGGACAAUGGGGGCAACCCUGAUCCAGCCAUGCCGCGUGUGUGAAGAAGGCCCUCGGGUUGUAAAGCACUUUCAGUGAGGAAGAACGCCUGGUGGUUAAUACCCAUCAGGAAAGACAUCACUCACAGAAGAAGCACCGGCUAACUCCGUGCCAGCAGCCGCGGUAAUACGGAGGGUGCGAGCGUUAAUCGGAAUUACUGGGCGUAAAGCGCGCGUAGGUGGCUUGAUAAGCCGGUUGUGAAAGCCCCGGGCUCAACCUGGGAACGGCAUCCGGAACUGUCAAGCUAGAGUGCAGGAGAGGAAGGUAGAAUUCCCGGUGUAGCGGUGAAAUGCGUAGAGAUCGGGAGGAAUACCAGUGGCGAAGGCGGCCUUCUGGACUGACACUGACACUGAGGUGCGAAAGCGUGGGUAGCAAACAGGAUUAGAUACCCGGGUAGUC